rnacentral:rRNA from 1 species
UACGUAGGUGGCAAGCGUUGUCCGGAUUUACUGGGCGUAAAGAGCGCGCAGGCGGUCGUUCAAGUCGCGUGUGAAAGCCCCCGGCUCAACUGGGGAGGGUCACGCGAUACUGAUCGACUCGAAGGCAGGAGAGGGAAGUGGAAUUCCCGGUGUAGUGGUGAAAUGCGCAGAUAUCAGGAGGAACACCGGUGGCGAAGGCGGUUCUCUGGGCAUUACCUGACGCUGAGGAGCGAAAGUGUGGGGAGCGAACAGG